rnacentral:sRNA from 1 species
CCCGUGGAGCCGGCGCGGGCGGGCUGCUGAGGUGGCUGUCGCCGGCUCCGAGCUGCGGCUUCCCGGGCCGAGCCCCCGAUGGAGGCCGAGGCCGCGGACGCUCCCCCGGGCGGGGUUGAGUCGGCGCUCAGCUGCUUCUCUUUCAACCAGGACUGCACAUGAAAUCCCGGACGUCUACAUCGUGGAGCGCCUCUUCUCCAGCAGCCUGGUGGUGGUAGUCAGUCACACAAAACCACGGCAGAUGAACGUGUAUCACUUCAAGAAAGGCACAGAGAUCUGUAAUUACAGCUACUCCAGCAACAUCUUGUCCAUAAGGCUGAACCGGCAAAGGCUGCUGGUUUGCCUAGAAGAGUCCAUUUAUAUUCACAACAUUAAAGACAUGAAGCUGUUGAAGACCCUCCUGGAUAUUCCUGCAAACCCAACAGGUCUAUGUGCUCUCUCUAUCAACCAUUCCAAUUCUUACUUGGCCUAUCCUGGAAGCCUGACUUCAGGGGAGAUUGUGCUUUAUGAUGGAAACUCCCUGAAAACAGUCUGCACUAUUGCUGCCCAUGAGGGAACACUAGCUGCCAUCACCUUCAAUGCCUCAGGCUCCAAACUAGCAAGUGCAUCUGAAAAAGGCACAGUCAUCCGGGUGUUCUCUGUCCCUGAUGGGCAAAAGCUCUAUGAGUUCCGGAGAGGGAUGAAAAGGUAUGUGACAAUCAGCUCUCUAGUGUUCAGUAUGGAUUCACAAUUCCUCUGCGCCUCCAGUAACACCGAGACGGUACACAUCUUCAAGCUGGAACAGGUCACCAACAGGCAAUCGACCAGAAGAGCCUUCGACCUGGAGUGGCUACAUGGGAAAGAUGUUCAUGGCUGCUACCAACUACCUCCCCACCCAGGUGUCAGACAUGAUGCAUCAGGACAGGGCUUUUGCCACCGCACGCUUGAACUUCUCCGGACAGAGGAACAUCUGUACCCUCUCAACGAUCCAGAAGUUGCCACGGCUGCUAGUUGCGUCAUCCAGUGGACACCUUUAUAUGUACAAUUUGGAUCCUCAGGAUGGAGGAGAGUGUGUCUUAAUCAAAACCCACAGCUUGCUUGGCUCAGGAACAACAGAAGAGAAUAAAGAAAAUGACCUCAGACCUUCUUUACCUCAGUCUUAUGCAGCAACCGUAGCCAGACCAAGUGCAUCUUCAGCCUCCACGGUGCCAGGUUAUUCUGAGGACGGCGGGGCGCUGCGAGGAGAAGUUAUUCCUGAACAUGAGUUUGCGACGGGACCAGUGUGUCUUGAUGAUGAGAAUGAGUUUCCUCCUAUAAUCUUGUGCCGUGGAAAUCAGAAGGGCAAAACGAAGCAGUCAUGAUGAGAAGCACACCUCAGAAAUCAGGACAUCCCCCCUAUCAGGUGGUUUUGGAGAAAACAAGGAAGGUGGAAGAAUGGAGUGCAAUUGUGUGAGCAGAAAGGGGGGCAGGAAUCCCGGGUGCUCCACUGCUUAAACCACAGGACCUGGUUAACUCCUCACCAAGCUUCCCGCGACCCUGGUUGCCAAUGGGCGCGGGAGACAUUGUAUACACAUCAUGCUAUUUAAAAUAUGUUCAAACUAUAGUGUAAAUGCUAAUUAACCAUAUUGGUAUAUAACCGGAAUUUUAUAUUAAAAGGGGCCUCCUUUUUAAAUAUAUGCCGUGUAAAAAAUGUACUUAUAGGAACAUCUCUUUGAAUUGUAUUUCUUGUAUAUUACAUACUUAGAGAGAGACUAUUUUAGCCAGGCAAAGUCUUUUUUGGCUGUGACUGGAAUAAAUCAUUUAUUACUUGGGAGUCCCAUUUUGG